AUAUCAUUUGGAUUUCUCUGCAUGACAAAUUGGGGGAUGUAAAAUGACAGUGCUGCUACAGGCUUAUUGGAACCAUCAUCAAUGGAUCUAGACCUGUUGCCAACUCUGUGUUUGUGGCACUACACAGACAUUGAUGAGGAAUACAUGCUUCUGGAAGACCAGUACCAGCAUCAGUUUCGAGCUGUUAUGGAACAGCUAUCUAUCACUGGGCGUCCAGCUACUUAUGCUGUGGAGAAAGUGCAGGAGACCCAACAAUUAUUCAGUUUCGAUGGAAUAUCCUCCAUUUGAAAAAGAGGCAGUGGUGCUGUCAGGGUCUUGAGGAUGCUAUGUGCUGACCACUCCCUGAUGAACG